UGCGGCUCAGAGACCGGUUGAUCCUGCCGGAGGGAACCCCUAUCGGGCUCGGACUAAGUCAUGCAAGUCUGCCGAAGGCCCCCGCCUUCGGCGGCGAACGGCUCCGUAAUACGCGGUCAACCUACCCUGGGGAGGGGGAUAACCUCUGGAAACCGAGGCUAAUCCCCCAUAGGGACGAAGUGCUGAGAUGCCUUCGUCCCGAAAGUAGGCGGAGGGGUUAUGGCUCCGCCAAGGCCCCAGGAUGGGACCGCGGCCCAUCAGGUAGUAGGUGGGGUAACGG
rnacentral:rRNA from 1 species